GAUGAAGACGCAGCGAAAUGCGAUAAGUAAUGUGAAUUGCAGAAUUCAGUGAAUCAUCGAAUCUUUGAACGCACAUUGCGCCCGCCAGUAUUCUGGCGGGCAUGCCUGUUCGAGCGUCAUUUCAACCAUCAAGCCCCCCGGCUUGUGUUGGGGACCUGCGGCUGCCGCAGGCCCUGAAAAGCAGUGGCGGGCUCGCUGUCACACCGAGCGUAGUAGAUCUCAUCUCGCUCAGGGCGUGCUGCGGGUUCCGGCCGUUAAACCACCUUCAUAACCCAAGGUUGACCUCGGAUCAGGUAGGAAGACCCGCUGAACUUAAGCAUAUCAAUAAGCGGAGGA
rnacentral:misc_RNA from 1 species